rnacentral:rRNA from 1 species
UACCAGCACCCCGAGUGGUCGGGACGAUUAUUGGGCCUAAAGCAUCCGUAGCCGGCCUUACAAGUCCUCCGUUAAAUCCAGCUGCUUAACAGAUGGGCUGCGGAGGAUACUAUAAGACUAGGAGGCAGGAGAGGCAAGCGGUACUCAGUGGGUAGGGGUAAAAUCCGUUGAUCCAUUGAAGACCACCAGUGGCGAAGGCGGCUUGCCAGAAUGCGCUCGACGGUGAGGGAGUGAAAGCUGGGGGAAGCAAACCGGG